rnacentral:rRNA from 1 species
UACGGGGGGGGCAAGCGUUGUUCGGAAUUACUGGGCGUAAAGGGCUCGUAGGUGGCCAACUAAGUCAGACGUGAAAUCCCUCAGCUUAACUGGGGAACUGCGUCUGAUACUGGAUGGCUUGAGUUUGGGAGAGGGAUGCGGAAUUCCAGGUGUAGCGGUGAAAUGCGCAGAUAUCAGGAGGAACACCGGUGGCGAAGGCGGUUCUCUGGGCCUUACCUGACGCUGAGGAGCGAAAGCGUGGGGAGCGAACAGG